rnacentral:rRNA from 1 species
CCUACGGGUGGCAGCAGUGAGGAAUAUUGGUCAAUGGACGCAAGUCUGAACCAGCCAUGCUGCGUGCAGGAAGACGGCUCUAUGAGUUGUAAACUUCUUUUGUACGGGGGUAAAAUCAGGGACGCGUGCCUGUCUGAAAGUACCGUACGAAAAAGGAUCGGCUAACUCCGUGCCAGCAGCCGCGGUAAUACGGAGGAUUCAAGCGUUAUCCGGAUUUAUUGGGUUUAAAGGGUGCGUAGGCGGGCGGGUAAGUUAGAGGUGAAAUCCCGAGGCUCAACUUCGGAAUUGCCUUUGAUACUGUUCGGCUAGAGAGUAGUAGAGGUAGGCGGAAU